GCUUGAUCGUAAACUUUAAAUUACACCUCCAAUCGCCAGAGAACUACGAGCAAAGCUUAAAACUCAAAGGACUUGACGGUACCCCACAUCCCCCUAGAGGAGCCUGUCCUAUAAUCGAUAAUCCUCGUUAAACCUCACCACUUCUUGCUUCUCAGCCUGUAUACCUCCGUCGUCAGCUUACCACGUGAGCGAAAUUCAGUGAGCUUAAUGUCCACACGCCCACACGUCAGGUCAAGGUGCAGUAAAUGAAGUGGCAAGAGAUGGGCUACACUUUCUAAAAUAGAAUACACGAAAGACCACAUAUGAAAACUGGUCAAAAGGCGGAUUUAGUAGUAAAAGAAAACCAGAGUGUUUCUUUUAAUUCGGCACUGGGGUGUGUACACACCGCCCGUCACCCUCUUCAAAGUCUAAUUAUAGUAUAUAACCACAUAGUGCCCCACAGAAGAGGCAAGUCGUAACAUGGUAAGUAUACCGGAAGGUGUGCUUGGAAA
rnacentral:rRNA from 2 species